AAGUCGUAACAAGGUUUCCGUAGGUGAACCUGCGGAAGGAUCAUUACAGAGUUCUUGCCCUUACGGGUAGAUCUCCCACCCUUGAAUACAUACCUUUGUUGCUUUGGCGGGCCGCGCUUGCGCUACUGGCUCCGGCUAGUACGUGCCCGCCAGAGGACCACAACUCUUGUUUUUAGUGAUGUCUGAGUACUAUAUAAUAGUUAAAACUUUCAACAACGGAUCUCUUGGUUCUG
rnacentral:misc_RNA from 1 species